ACGGAGGGUGCGAGCGUUGUCCGGAAUCACUGGGCGUAAAGGGCGCGUAGGCGGCCUGGUAAGUAGGGGGUGAAAUCCCGCGGCUUAACCGCAGGGCUGCCUUCUAAACUGUCAGGCUAGAGCACGGUAGAGGCAGAUGGAAUCCCCGGUGUAGCGGUGGAAUGCGUAGAGAUCGGGAAGAACAUCAGUGGCGAAGGCGGUCUGCUGGGCCGUUGCUGACGCUGAGGCGCGACAGCGUGGGGAGCAAACAGGA
rnacentral:rRNA from 1 species